rnacentral:rRNA from 1 species
AACGAACGCUGGCGGCAUGCCUAACACAUGCAAGUCGAACGGUGUUCCCGCUUCGGCGGGGGCAUAGUGGCGCACGGGUGAGUAACGCGUGGGAACCUGCCCCGUGGUACGGAGCAACUCCGGGAAACUGGAGCUAAUACCGUAUGUGUCCCCUGGGACAAAGAUUGCAUCGCCAUGGGAGGGGCCCGCGUAGGAUUAGGUAGUUGGCGGGGUAACGGCCCACCAAGCCCGCGAUCCUUAGCUGGUCUGAGAGGAUGAUCAGCCACACUGGGACUGAGACACGGCCCAGACUCCUACGGGAGGCAGCAGUGGGGAAUAUUGGACAAUGGGCGCAAGCCUGAUCCAGCAAUGCCGCGUGAGUGAUGAAGGCCUUCGGGUUGUAAAGCUCUUUCGCACGCGACGAUGAUGACGGUAGCGUGAGAAGAAGCCCCGGCUAACUUCGUGCCAGCAGCCGCGGUAA